rnacentral:rRNA from 1 species
UACGAAGGGUGCAAGCGUUACUCGGAAUUACUGGGCGUAAAGCGUGCGUAGGUGGUUCGUUAAGUCUGAUGUGAAAGCCCUGGGCUCAACCUGGGAACUGCAUUGGAUACUGGCGAUCUGGAGUGCGGUAGAGGGUGGCGGAAUUCCCGGUGUAGCAGUGAAAUGCGUAGAUAUCGGGAGGAACAUCAGUGGCGAAGGCGGCCCCCUGGACCAGCACUGACACUGAGGCACGAAAGCGUGGGGAGCAAACAGG